GACGAACGCUGGCGGCGUGCUUAACACAUGCAAGUCGAGCGGUAAGGCCCUUUCGGGGGUACACGAGCGGCGAACGGGUGAGUAACACGUGGGUGACCUGCCCUCAGCUCUGGGAUAAGCCUGGGAAACCGGGUCUAAUACCGGAUAUGACUCCAUGACGCAUGUUGUGGGGUGGAAAGCCUUGUGCGGCUGAGGAUGGGCCCGCGGCCUAUCAGCUUGUUGGUGGGGUGAUGGCCUACCAAGGCGACGACGGGUAGCCGGCCUGAGAGGGCGACCGGCCACACUGGGACUGAGACGACGG
rnacentral:rRNA from 1 species